rnacentral:rRNA from 1 species
CCUACGGGUGGCAGCAGUGGGGAAUAUUGGGCAAUGGAGGAAACUCUGACCCAGCAACGCCGCGUGAAGGAUGAAGGUUUUCGGAUUGUAAACUUCUGUCGCGAGGGAUGAAGAAUGACGGUACCUCGUAAGACAGCCCCGGCAAACUACGUGCCAGCAGCCGCGGUAAGACGUAGGGGGCGAUCUUUGUCCGGAAUGACUGGGCGGAAAGGGAGUGUGGGGGGCAUAUUAAGUUAUGUGUGAAAGCCCGCGGCUCAACCGAGGAAUUGCACAUAAAACUGGUAAGCUGGAGUGCAGGAGAGGUAAGUGGAAUUCCCGGUGUAGCGUGGGAAUGCGUAGAUAGCGAGAGGAACACCAGAGGCGAAGGCGACUUACGGGACUGUAACUGACGCUGAGGCUCGAAAGCGUGGGGAGCAAACAGGAUUAGAUACCCCAGUAGUC